UCCAGUCCCUUUCUUAACUAAUCCUGUCACUGUAAAAUCCUACAGUCAUUCUUCCACACAUAAAGGGAAAACGGACUCACUAGGAGGACCUAGACUCUUGCAGCUUGAACUGUUAACCAAUGGUGGAAACGCGAGGCUGCCGAAGUUGUGCCUGCCGAGCCAAUCGAGUGGAUGCGUGUGUCCCACAUGACUGUGUUUCCCCUGUCUUUCACAUGGGCAGUAUUUAGUUCAAUUCAGAACUGCAGAUAGUAUAGCCUGCACGGCAGCAAUGGGAUGUCUGAGCGUGAGCGGCUGGCUUCCGAGGGCCGCCACCAAGCCCGCGCAUACGUGUCUCCUGAGCUACCCUGGGAUUGUGCCCCUUGCCAUCCGCCCACCCUCGUCUCUGCAGAAGGAGGCAGCGCGACCGGCACAGCGCAACAAAACAAAACUAGGCAUCACGACAAGCUGCAGACCAGCAAACGAAGCUAAGUGAGGGCAGUAUGACCAAUGUCUGCUGUGUCAGUUCCCCAGCAGUUGAAGCAUGUUAUCAGGUGUCCAAGACCUACAGCUUGCGGAGACUGGAAAGGAAGACAAAUAAGGUCGGAUCGAUGUCCUCAGAGGGCGGAGAAGGGUGGAGAAAAAGGACAAGAUUCAGACCGGACAUACGUACCAGGCAAGCAACCAUUCUUUCUGUAAUUCGGAACCUCUUACAGUUUGCACAGUGAACUUGUCUUUCCAUUUCUCUGAAGUAAUCAAGGGUCUGGAACACACUUUUCUAGCUUACACAGCAAAGGCCCAAGUGCAGGGCGGAUUCUCGAAUGUGCGACUAACCCACCUCCUCGUUUCCUUGGUCUUUUCCACUGCAUGUUCACAUAGCUAAUGAAACAGAAAAUCAGCUAUGUUCACAUGCAACUAAUACGAAUGAGUUUUCCUAAUGGAGAGAAUGGAACAUAAUUACAUGCUUUUUCCUAUAAUCCACUUAAGGUGAUAUCUCUCUGCCUGUCCCUCAUCAAUAUCUUGGCUCAGUGCACUCAGCCCAUAUAAAUGCAUUUUCUCAGUAAAGAGGUCUAAGGUUUGCUCUGCUAUUGACUCAUUUGUGGAAUUUGCACAAUGCUAUCUAAACAAAUGAUCCACAUUUCGUGAUUUCAUCCAAUUACCAAAGUUUGAAUGUAAAGCAAACUUAGUUGCCUAUUUGUUUUAAUUGCAUUUCAACAUUUUUCUUUUAAACAAAGCAGUCUUACAUUCUCUUCUCCCUAGAUACUUAUUUCUUUUCAGGCUACAUAUUCUCCACCCCUUUUGGACAUGCAAAACUACGAAGGACCAUGGAUUUUCACAACAGAGACAGCUGAUAUCUGAACAUUAGCAAGUCAGUAACUGGAGUCUAGCAUGAACUACAGUAAGAAAGAGCUUCAAGAUUUAGAUCCGAUUAGGCACUCAUAUUUCAUAUAUGAACCGAAUCUGAACCACAGGCAGAAGUCCAAACUGGAGUUUGAAACUUCUCUUACAUGCAGUACAUGUAAUUUGAAGACACAUUAAGCUCAUUGGGCAGUCACAGACCAAAGUGAAAGAGCAGCUGAAGCUAAAAGAGGUGGUGGAAGCAGAUUAGAACAUCUUCAUAAGGUGAACGGGAAGCUGAGGCAUCUAUCAACAGCCUAAGACUUGGAUGUUUGUUAAUGAUUUUAUAUUCAAUGUUAUUCAGUUGUAAUUACUACAAGGCAUGUCUACCUAGUUUAAAUGAGCCACAGGUGCUAGAACUAAAGAGUCUUAUGUUAAGCUAUUGUAUAACAUUAUUUGAAAGAUACAUUGCACUGAAUUUAACAAAUUUCUGUGCUAUUCUUGCACUCAGAGGGUGCUUUUCAGUGAAGCGCAAAAAAGCCUGGAAUUUCUGCUAAAAUUCCACUAAGUGUCAAGGCAGCAUGCAGUUUCAGGGUAAUGCACAGUUUUAAAAGACUAGUAGGUGAUUUUCAGCAGAGAAGAACUUUCACUAGCCCCUUCCCCCUUUCUUUUUCCCCAGUGAGCUCCUGUGUGCAGACAUCCUCCUGAAACAGAGCGCCUUGCAUGUGCAAGCACACACACACUACCCCUUGGCUGCCUGUGCUUGUGCCAACCUGUUUUAGUGCAGUGCAGCUAGUCUGAAAUUGUUUGCUCCAUAGGUCCUCAAGAAAAAUGCUGUCACGGGUUUGAGUGAAGCUGUUAUGGCAUCGCUAGUGCCUUCUUUCUAGAGGGCAGCUCUGCUGUUUUCUUCCACAUUAAGUUAGAUUUCCUGACAAAUACAAACCUCCCCACACAAAAAGUUAGCCAUGACCUUCCUCUCUGCUGUAUUCCCACGUGCCAAUAGAGUUGCAAUUUUGCCAUUAAUCAAAAUCUCAAAAAAAAAAAAAAAAAAAAAAAGGUAGGAUUCUGAUCCUAACCUUCAGGUACACUCCCCAAAACAGGUGCUUGAGAGCAAGCACUGGAUGGAAGGCAAUAGAAGAGGAAGGGGAGAAGUGAUAAAGGUAUUAAAGGAAUGGGGUACUGUGUGCUUUAAAACCCUUUGGCUCCAGCUUCUUAUUUUUGAUAUUCAGCAUGAGUUUGCCAUGACCACAGAAGCCUGCUCUCUUUUUACACUGAAUAAUUCCCAGCAUUUCUGUGUCACUACAGCUGAUAUACACAUAUUGAAGAUUUAGCUUUCUAACCUUACAAGUGGGGGCAGACAGAAGGAAGGGGAGAGCAAGAAAUACCAAUAAGCUUCCCAGCCUCUUUGCCUUUACAUUACUGCAUGAUACUUCUCUCCCUUUCUCUCCAAAUAUUUGAGGAAUCCACUUCCUCUGCAAGAGAGGGAGAAGAAGACUGAAAGAAGAUGAGAGAAGACUGACAUAUAUAGUUUGGUUACAAAAUUUUUAUUUUAUAAAUUUAGAAAAUAUAUGUAUUUCUCAAAUAAUUGGGAUGAAAUUGCAGCUCCAGAAAAGCCAGUGACCAGGAUUUCACACUCAGUCCUGUUAAGCUGUUUUUAUAUAUUAGAGAAAAGUCUAGAUCUUGGAAGCCAUUUGUCCUCAAUUUCCCUUCAAUUUUUAUGCUAGAAGAGGGGCAGAUUGCUAAAUAUUUUGGCUAUUCUUCCUUCUCCUUCCUCACUUCAUUCUGACUUACAUUACAUUAGCAGUGCUGCUAAUGGCAUAUGACAAUAAUACUGAGCUCUUGUGCAAUAUACUCAGACUAGACACCCCCCACCCCCCGUUUCCAGCUAAGCAUGAUCCACAUUUUACAACAGGAAAAGUUAGACCCAGAGACAUGAACAGACUGGUGACAUCUUUUCUUUGGUUAUAUCCUUCCCUCCAUCCCAUUCACUGCUUUACUCCUUUGUGAGUCUCACUCUGCCUCUUGUAGCCUUAGGGGACAGGAUUUGGAAUCUCAGACCAGGUUCUGUCAAUAGAAUGAGGUCAGCCAGCAGAUCCACGGGACAGGCGAGAUUAAAAUGUGUUUAUCCUGAGCCCAAGUGCAGGGCCCUAUUCAGACAGCUUUGCUGCCUGCUAGUUAUCAGGUUGAAUUGAAAACAAAAGUUAUAUUAAGAGACAGCAGGAUCAUUAUUUCUCCUUUCUGCCCCCUCCUCAAGUGCUUGAGGUCAUUUUCCACAACAGAAAUGAAAGCCUUCUUGGAUGUGUUUUUGUGCUAAACAGCAGUGGUUAAUUUCUUGCAACUAAUUAGUUAUUCAAGUGAAAGUAUAAUGAUCCUCCAGCAUGAUUGAAAGUGCUUCAACUGAGUUUCCUGCUAACAGCAUACUCCUAGAAAAGACGCAAUAAAUCAGCAGGGUUAUGGAAAUAUUUAAACAAAGCAAGUCCAUGACAGGAACCCAUUAAAGAUGUAGCCAUGUAAUAUUUAUGUACCUAGCUGACUUGUGCUUUUAACCUGGCACUUUCAGCUACAGCUUUUUAGCACCUGGGUCAUAUUCACUAAGAAUGAAAUUCACCCUAUCUGCUAAAAGCCAACAUAACGUCUUUGCAUUAGGUGUUCAACAGUAUAGGGUUCAUACAGGACCUAAGUGGUGCAGCCCUCCCACUGAAGGGAAUUUCAUCCAAAUUUCUCUAAAGAAAAAUGCCAUUAAAACACCUUUAAGCAACACAGGAAUGUGAGUCUGUGAACCACAAAUUCCCCAAUUACCAUCAGCAAUAAAAUCUGUAGGUAAGUAAGAAAGGUUUUAGAAAUCCAAAGGUCUUGAUGCAGAAACAGAACCCCUCAGAAACAAAGCUGCUCAGAGCAGCCCCCGUCACCUAUCAGUGUUUAGGUUAGGGCGUGGGGAUUGAGUCGAGGGGUUACUGAGAUGGUAAUAGCUGAUCUCUCAGCCAGAAACAUUUUUUAAAGGCACUGAUUGCAGAAAAUGUCAUCCACUCAUUCUAAAAAGGGGUUGUUCAUUACAGGCAAGGAGUUUAAACACACUAGUUACUGCAGAAAAGUAAAAUUCAGUUGUCUAGAAAAAAAUUUUGAUAUUGCUGAGUUUUCUGGAUGCCUCAGAUGUACAGUAUCUGGUCCUUAAAUAGCAAAAAGGAAGAGAGAUUUCCCUUUCUUCCAUUACAUUAAGUAGUGGGCAUGUGUUUAUCAUGUAUUUUUAAAAUAUACAUAAGCACAGGCAAAGCAAGGGGAGCAGCUUAAUAAACCCCACUUUCAGUGGCUACAUAUUCUCUCCCUCAUCCCAUUUACUCAUUUGCUUCUUUGCCAAACCACUAGUCCAUCUCCUACAGUUUUAAGAGACAGAAUCUGGAUUCUUAAACCAGCUUCAGGUGAUGUCCCAGACAUUGCUUUAUACUCUGACUUACCCUUCCUUACUACAGCAGAUGGCUGCGAAAAGGAAAACCUCACUGCUGCUGGGCUAGAGAAACAGCAGAACACAAUCUAGCCAAAGUAUGACUUGGAGGGAAAUUGGAGGAAGGAAUGUAGAGACCUGACUGCAAUUUCCUGGGACUCAGAGCAGGAAGAAAGCAAAAGAAAUAUAAGAAAUUGGCAGGAGAAAGGGAUUGAGAAGGACAGAAAAGGAGACUAAACCUCACUCCCCCUUUCCCACUAAAAUCAUGUUUGCUCUCACCACAAGUUUGUGGGCCAAUGACCACUUUCAACUUGCACUUUCUGCUGGAAAAAUAAAUUAGGAGUCCAGUUUAAUUUUAUCAAUAGAGAGUUUAAAGUGGUCACUGGAGCACAAAGUGCUUUUCAAAGGGCAGCUAAGCUCAACAGGGACAAGGAGGAGGAUGUUGGGACAGCCGAGAGAGUACAGACAGAUUAAAAGCGCUAAGGGUGCAUCUAUUUUCAACAAUAAAGAUAAGGCCUUUAUAACAUUUUCUGCAAUCCUCUUUGUUGUGAGCUGUUUUUUAGACAAACAUAUAUUACUUACAAAUACCUUUGCCAGGGUAUUUUGCAUGUGUGUGGUUUGGGGGAGGGGUUGUUUGUUUUGUUUUACACAUAAGCAGUAAAUGAACUAGGCAUUUGCUCUAUGAGCACAUGGGAUUAUGCUUAGCCUGUGCUGUAAAUCAUCAAAUCCAGUACAAGUAACUUUGUACUAGAAUAGUUUUUGCUAUGCUAAACAUUUAAACUGUGUACCCAAUUCUUCAAACUCUCAGUUCAUGCUGCAUUCAGAGCUUUAUAGGGUUGGGUCAGUAGCGUAUUUUUUCCGAGUGGUUGUUCCUAGAUAACAAUAACAAAAACCCAAAACUUCUGCUUACAUCAUUUAACAUGCCUAAAGGCUUAGCUGAAGACACUCGGAAUUAUGAAAAAAAAUUUUAUGCUUGUUUUUUCUUAAAAAUGGCCUCUACGGUUGAAAGUAAGAAGUUACACUAUCGGAAGGCAAAAAGAAUGCUUUGCCAACUCUGGACCAAAAACAAUUUUGUUUUUGAACUGGAGCAGUGACAGGCAUAAAAGGGUUUCAGGGAAUUUCAUCUUCUCCCUGAAGGCAGCUGUGAGCCUUUCGACUGCCCCAGACUGCAUGCUAUAGUGAUCGCAAGACAGGCAUGUUUUGCAAGUCCUAAGCAAUAGCCUUUAUUUAUCAGAGCAUGUGGAGUGUGACGGAUAGCAGGAAUGAGGCAAAUGAGGCAAUUCCACCAGUUCCUAUGAAAACUUCUCAUUUGAGCAGUACUUUCAGCUCUACUAGGUAGGUGUUACACUUGCUGUUUAGCAAAUGCCCCCCUACUACUUUCUUAACUUAAACUAAUAAUAUUAAUACUCAAGAAGAUUUCACCCAACAUUUACAGAGAGCCAUGAAAUGCUCAGUGUUCUUUCAAAUUGAAUUUACACAACUUCCAUAAAGUAAUAGUGAUGCUUUUAGGAAUAAAGAAGAGGCACAAUCUCUCAUCUAUGUCAAACUACACAUGAGAAUUAUCAAGUGUGUUAGCAACUUUCAUAAAUUUGCAUGCUGAAUUUUCAGAGGAAAGAAAAUGCAGGAAUACCAAAAUGCAUUCACAAAGGAGAUAAUGUGAUCAGUGAUUUACUUCCUUAAGUCUUCAGAAAUCAAUUCUAACCGAACACAGCCUGCCUUUCGUUGGUAUCCAGCACUGUGUAAUAAACAGCAUUUAAAAUGCCUUCCCCCUCCACACACCGCUCCUUUCUAGGUAGCAUGUAGAUACCAGACCUUGAUGCUUUACCCGGGAACAGAGACACAGGACUCAAGCAGCACCUCUUUUCCAGCGAGAGCACGCCUCCCCUUUGAGGGCCUGGGGCAGUGUGCCUCAGAUGCUAAUAGCUUGAGUUGUGUGCAAUAGCCCUGUAUUGUUUAUAUAGCACUUCACAUGUUCAAAGCACUAUCUGAGAUAUCAGCCAUCACCACACUUUUAUGAGGCUGUAAGUAUUACCCACUAAACUUUAAGCUUAAAUGACUUGCCAUUGAUCAAAAGUAACUUUGUGUGGCAAGACCAUAAUUAUUUGAAUUUAGUAAUUCUUGCAGUCUAUUCCUAAGGUGUCUCAGAAAAAGGAGGAUGGGAUAUUAAAGCCAGUUGUUACCGCACUGUGCUCUGCCAGACUGAGAUAUAGACACACAGAGAAUACCUAAGCCCAGUUGCACUCCAGCAGAAUUUUUUCUGUAUCAGACAACCUUUAGGAAGAAAGUAAAAGCCAAAAUAAAAUGAAACAUUGUAAAAGCCCUAAACAAGUUCCUCUGAAUUUGCAUGUAUAUAGUCACUGUGAAGAACAUAAGACAACCAUUGUAUUCACACUCAACACUGCUGCCAUCAGGUCUCAAAGCACAAAAAAAACAUGCAAACUAUAUAGAAAUAGUCCACAGGUCCUAAAUAAGAUGGAGAUCCUCACUCAUUUAUUCUGAAAGAGUUUUGUUUUGUUUUUUAGUUUAUUUUAAACCAAGAGGAUUAGCAGGCACCAAAGACCAGGCAAGUCAGAAGUAAUCAUCCCCUUUUCUGCAGCUAAAGAAAACUACAAGCUAUUGUCUAAGAUCUGAUUACAGUAGAAUUCAGACUAAUACCUCUUAGUCAUACAGAAUAUUUUUCUUUCCAUUUUUAUGCUGACUUCCAUCCCAUCAAAAUUCAGGUGCUUUGCUAACAUUUAUAAUGCAGCCUCAAAAUAUUAAGUCUCCCUUUCCAUGAGAUCAACAUUUAGUCUUAUUUUUCAAAUGAGAUUUGUAAGACAAAGGAGCAGAUAUUGAGAGACAACCAGUCUUGGUACCCAGGACAGCCAAAUAAAAGCUGGAAAUAAAAGCUAAACAAAUUGCAUCCUGAAGAAUAUGUUUUACAGUUAUUGGCUUUAGAACCCACAUGAUCACACAGGAAACACAGGGCAGCACCAAGACAAAAAAAAUGCAGGUCUCCACACAUAAUCCAGGUUCAUCAAAAAAGGAAAGAGUGCCUGUUUAAGGCUAUCAGAAGGAGGGAGAGGGUAAGAAAUUACCUUCAAAGGGAGUAACGUCUACAGGGAAUUACUAACAGAACCUCUUGUGCUUUGGUCAAGUUGAUCGUGGUGCUCUCAAUAUUCACCCCGGCUAUUGUAUCAUGUCCAUUAGACCUUUUUUGGGUACAGGCCACACAGAACUCUAUGCCAGACUGUGUUUGCAAUUUCUACUAUUUUGACUUCCAUUGCCUGAAAAGUUAGAUUACUGAAAUGUUUGCUAAAACAUUAAACUCUAAGCAUAACGUCAGUCGGUGAGCAUUGCUUCAUGGAUAUUAACGUAAAAACCAGUUACCAUACUCCAUCUACUGAUCUAAAGAACAGAUGUUUGCAUAUGAUUUAUGGACACUAAAAUAUGUGCAUAUCUUCCAUAAAUAGUAAUCUGUUCCAGUAACAAAAAGUGGAAUUGUAGUCCAAAAAGGCUGGGAAACUGCAGGCAGUAUUAGAAUUGAUUUGGCAACUUCUUGUCUUUAAAUAAAAAGACAAAGCUUGCAGAUCCAGUGCUACAGCCCUGUAUGCUGGAAAAGCUCUUACAGUUUCAAACAGGACUAACAACAUGAAGUAAUACCCAUAUAAAUUGCAUAGUCAGGCACAAUAGCUUAGAUAUAAAAGUCUGCUUAGAGGAAAAAAAAGUGUAAUUGAGAUUUGUUAAAUAAAAGUAAUAAUUUAUGUUGAAUGAGGUACAAUAAGUUUAUGUAGUAUGCAAAAAGCCAAUACUACCUUGGCUAUUUUUACGUUAAGUUUUGUUUUGGAAGAGUCUUUAAUAUCAAAAUUUAAGAAGACACUAGCCAGGUAAAAUUCUAAUGGGCAAAGCAUACCUUCCAACUCGGCAAUUAAAUUAUUUCUGGAGGUGCAAAUAUUUGACUGAAUUGAUAUCACCGCUACUCCUCACGUUUGCACUGCUCCUAAAUGAGCUCGGCUAAUCACCAUCCCAUCUCUUUGACUGGGUUGUAGACACGUAUUGUCAUCUGAUGGGUUUUGUUUCAAAAAGCAGAGUCAAAUUUUUGACAGCAGACUUGCUCAAAAACUUUGUCAAAGGCUACAAACACAUGACCUAACACAUUUGGGGAUGUGCUUUUUUUGGGCAAGUAGAACUUUGAGAAGACUCAACAAAUUGCAGAUUGUGAUAUGCAUGCAUGUCACCCAGGUUUUGAUUUGUUUUUUAAAAAAAAAAUCUUAUGGUUAUUAUUUCACUCCAAAAUGCUUUUCUGGUAUGCCAAGAUAUUUCCCACUCUUAUUUCAUUGGCAAUAAUGACAAUAAUUCUCUAUAACUUUAGAUUUCUUCACACCAGAAUGUAAGAAAAAGCAACCGUGUAGAAUGCAGAAUUUAAACAAGGCAAUCAUGAUUUUCUCUCCUGUCUCAGGCUGGCAUGCACUAGCACUUCAAGAUGUUACACAGCUGCUGCUCUUCUCCAGAGAUGGCUGUACUCCAGUAAAUGGUGAAAUAUUCCCUAACAUACUUUUUCCAGCAGAGGUUUAUAAAGAUGUUACCAUGUUUCCACAGGUUGAAGGCAAAAUGAAAACACUGCGAUUGUCUAGCUGGUUUCUCUAGAAACAUUGGUCUUAGAAUUACUGCAUUAGUAAUUAGGAGUCGAUCCCAUACCCCAAUGCACUGCGCACACAACUGGAGUUGGUGUUCACAGAACACGGCGAGUCUCUUCGAUCACAAUGCAGGUAACCCUGCAAGAGCAGCAUUCUGCUCUUGCCAUUUCUACCACCGCUACCACCAAGUGUUCACUGAAAGUGAACGCUAUUCAUUGUGUCAGAGAAAGGCCUUCCUCUUCACAACUGCACAGAAAUUUUACUUUCAGCAUAUAACUCAGAGACAUGCAAGAAUAAGCUGAAGCUCUAACAAGUCAGCUGGAUUUAAUUCCUUUUAGUAGAAGCACAUCACAAUGUGAAUGCUUAACGAGAUUUAUUAUUGCUGUUAAUUUAUUGCAGGUACAUGAAGAUUUGGCAUUUGAGAACACUUUAAUCAAAAAGAUGAAAAAAUAGAAAAGGUACUAAAAAACUAAUGACCGAUCAGUCUACUUCACUUUUUUCCAGAUGAAUCUCCAGGUGCCAGCUGGUGUAAAUGCAGAUUCCACUGACGUCAAUGGAGCUGUGUCAGUUUACACUAGCUGAGAAUCUGAUCCCAAGUGUGUUAGUGCCAUUUUUAGACACUGCCACUGGAAUUCACUUUUGUGACAAAAUUAAAAAUACAUCCAACCUCAUUGCAUUUCUUCCUGUCCCCAAGUGUAUAACUGGAAGCCUGCCGACCUACUGUGGGAGAGGGCAAGUGGGAGAUGGAAUUAAUGAAAGGAGCCUACAACCGUAUCGCCAAGAUAACUUGGCAAUAUGAGUAUUGAUACUAUUGUUCUGUUGUCUGUUUUAGAGAAGUGAGUGUUUGCCUUAAAAGUCUUACUCCACCUCCCAGUAAAAGUUUAAUGCCAGCAAAGGAAAAAGAUGUUGUAAGUCAUGCAGAGUAUCUACCACAGCAGCACGCUAACGUACUAUUUUAAUCAAUGUACAAUCUGUAUAGAUUAUUUUUAAUGCAUCAUUAGGGAAAUUAUCUGAAGUUCACAACUUUUAAGAAACCCCAACCUGAGAUCUGUUUAUUCAUCUAGAUAUUUGUUCCCAAAGGAUCUCGCUGCUGGAGAAUUAGCAAGACUAGUCAACAGACACACACACAGCUUGACGCAACCAGCAAAGCCAGGCCUGUGUGAUGUCCAUCAUCUAUAUUUCCGUGAGCACUUGUGCAGGGAAGGGAGAAAGAAGGAAGGAAUGACGUGGGGCAAUAAGCAGGGCAGAGCAGUGCCUUAUGGCUCCAGCCACCAUUUGUAAGUAGGGAAAGGGAGCUUUUAUUAUUGUUUUACAUACAGCAGCUGUUAAACAUGAGUGCACCAUAUGACAAAAAUCUAGUUGCCAGUAUUAACCAGUAUAAUGAAGCUGAACAUUUGCCUUUUGAUUCAAGAUAUAUAAAAAUCAAAAUGCAAGAGCUAGCUAAUUAGAACUAAAGAUGCAGCUCACAUAGCAUUGAGGUAAUUGUUUGUUUGUGCAGAACAACACCCAUAUCUUCAAUUUAGGUCAGGCCAUCAAGAAGAGGAAAAGGACUGAAGGCUGAAGAUGAGAUGCUCUAUUUCACACAGUUGCCCUCUGGAAGGACUGGCAAAGGCAGUCACUUAAAUUAGGUACAGGUCAUCAGACAAGGUAUCUUAUCUAUUCCUAAGACAGGCAACUCCAGCAGUCCAAAUCCCUAUGGCCUUUACAACGACACAAUGAACUACAUCCUCAUGUACCUCUGUCAAUUCACAUUAGGUUCCUGGUGCCUUUUUUUUUUUUUUUUUUUUUUUUUUUUUUUUUUUUUUUUUUUUUUUUUUUUUUUUUUUAAGUGAUAUUUCAUGUACACUAUGACCCUAUAGCUCAUAGCCAGGGAAGUGCUCUGGUUUAUUUAUGACCUACUAACCCUAAAUUAUUUUUUAAUUAAAAAAAAUAUAGUCUGAAUGGUCUCAUAAGCCUGCAGAUCUGAAAUAAAACUUAAAAUAAAUUUGGCAUUUGUAACACAGCUAGCUAAGCCCACUAGGGGAUUAAAAAAAAAAAAAAAAAGAAAAGAAAACCAGAUGACAGAAGAUGAAAGCAUUUUUACCCUGCAUAACCUGCACACAUUGGGCAUCAGGGCUGUAAUGCAGGAUUACUUAUUUUGUACUUUGAACUAGUCUUAGUCCCCUUCAAUAUAGGUUAGGUAACCAAAAAUACUGAGGUUUUUCCACUAGGAGCAAGGGGAGAGAAACAUAAUAGUAAUCAGUGAAAAUAACCUUUAAUGCAUUUUGCCCAACCAUAACAUCUACAAAGCUCCUCUCCUUCCCUAAACCCCAUCCUAAGGGCCAGGCUUCUGACAGGCAAGACCCAAUCUGAAGUAUGAAGUUACAGAGGGAAGCAGGGAAUAAGAGCAUAGGAAUAAAUACUGAAAGAAGUGUUGUACAGAAAGCAAGCUUAUAACAGGGCUGAUGGUAAACAUGAGUGACCUUAAGCCAUGAAGUCUAUUCAUUUGGCUAGAACAAUGUUGAACACAUGCAGAUAAGUACAAAAGACUAUUGAGCUGAAGAGCCUUAUUCUCUCAUCGCUCAUGCUGGUGUAAACCAGAGCUCCUUCCCUAACAUCCAUGGAGUUACUGUGAUAAAGCCAGUACAAACAAAUGGAAAAUCCAGCUUCAGGGCUAAAGUAUUCAUCAGCAGCAGAUAUCCCAUGCUGCUGUGUCAGCAAAAAGGGGUUCGCUGCCACACUGCUUUGAAGUCGGAUACAUUCGUAAUCACAGGGCCAUUCCUAAACAAAAUAUGUCUAAUCUACCACAAAGGAGAGAUGUGGUUUAUCCCCUUCAUGUCUAGUUCUCCAAUAGGAUAUGUUAAUGACUUGCUGUCCUCUAGAUUCAUUUGACAGAAGAUACAGUUGAGUUAAUUGAUAAAAAGUAAUAAAAGCCUGUACACACAGAACAAUUAGUUGAAAGAAACAGCUAGGUGAAAGCGCUUGUCAUGGCAUUUCUUUACAGAAUUCAUGCAGGCAGCACACAUGAAUUGCAGUCUUUUGGUGCUGGUUCCCUUUAAGCUCUUUAACAAAGAGCAUUUAUAAAUUUUUUUUAAAAAAAAUCAUACAUUAAUAAAAAAAUCAGAGUACAAAACUACCUAGUCCUUUGGUAAAAUAUUUAAUAAACAGCAAUUCACAGAAGCCAAUGAAUCAGUCAGCUUCAGUGCAGCGAGCUAUACACAGCCCAAAGGAAAAGCACUCAGACCAACUGGCUUCAAGAGACUGAUCUGCGAGAGAAGUCAGCUCACGAUUGCGCAUAGUAAGUAAGGUAAAAUUCCCAGGUUACCAUGCUUGCUCUCCGAUCUGUCCUCUGAAAUCCUCCCCCCAGACGGGACAUCCUGUCUAUCACAUGGAAAUUACAGCACUACAUCUACUUGAGUUUUUUUUUUUUUUCUUCCUCUUUUGAAAAAGGACAAAUUAAUUGGAAAAUUCAAAAAGAUCGGAAAUGUGUGUUGUGCUAUUGUGGAAGUUAAGAAUGAGGACUUUAUAUCAAAAAAUUGAUCAUCGCAGAGUAAACAGCAUGCUGCCACUUAAAUUUAUGUCAAACCUUGACAAAAAUUCAUCCUUCUCCCUUCUGAAAACUAUAAUAACAGGUCCUGCAUGUGUGACAAUUUCUAAGACAAUAAAGGUCUUCUGUCUUUAAGAAGCUUAUUAAGAAAUUAAACCUUAAAAGCAAAUGUAGUUUUUCAUCAAUCCUAAACAAGCUUUAAUCCAAUUGAACCAUGUCAGCAAAAGACACUUCAGUCAGUUGGGCAGUCUCUAACUGGCAACACCGAUUCAUAAAAUUCUUAGCCAACUUUGAUAAAUUAGAGGAUUUUGUGUUUUGAUUUGCCAAAAAGUUCAGUUCUGAUGUAAUGGACAUAUCAGACCACAUCAAUCCAUUUCUGCCAGGAUGCCCAGCCUAUAGAGUUAGAACCUGAGUAAAUGAAAUAUCUUUUCUUUUCAUAGAGAAGCAGCUUGGAAAACUGCCAGCUCCUUGCCUGAAGAUCGAAAUAGGAUGGGCAGAGAAGGGUAUUGGUGUCGGUAAGAGAACAAUAACAGAAAUUGCAUCAUCUGUAUGAUUAAAGUCACUGUGUCAAUUUUGAUUUUCCCCCCUCCUUUCAGACAUUUAAGGAUGCUGUCAAGGCAAUGGAGUUCUGUUGUAGUGGUUGCUUCAGUGAACAUUCAACGCUGUCGGCCUUAACACCGAAGAUAGCAACCUAACCAGCACACGAGGUUUCUCCCCCACCCUGCCAAGCUUUACAAAAAAGGUCACAAUCAACAUUCAUUGCUGUCGGUGGGUUUAACUAUGUGGACAAGCUCACUGAACAAUGAAUGCAACUGUGGCCCCACAUUUUACAGGUGCUGUUAAGAGGAACAUCAUCUCUGAAAGCGGUAGUGAGAAGCAAGUUCUUCUUCUAUCCUAAUAUUUUCUGGUUGAAAAGUAGUCGAGGACAUUGACUUUUUUGCUUGUUGUUUUUAAGUGUGCUCGAGUCAGCUGACUGGGGGAUGGGGAAGGGAAGAAGCCAAACACGAACCCCCCACCAGACUGUCUUUUUCUGAAAAGCAGUGUCCUCCCCAGAGUUCAGACUCAUUCAAGCCAUAGGAAUUCAUAUUCAGUAUGUACGUGGAAAUAAAUGCUAGUAUGGGGAACUGUUGGUGUCUGUGCACUCCUAAGGACUCCGAGCACAGGAAGGAAAGAUAUUUAAGCCUCAUCUUAAUUAAGAUUACAACUUGGUACACAAAAAAAACCCCUCUGCUGUACUUGUCAAGACAAAAGUACAAAUGGGAACCAGAAAUCAAAAAUAUGGAUAAAAUGUUACAUCAAGUAAAGGAUUAAUUUUACAUUAAGCUUAUUUUAAGCACCUAAUAAACACUGUUAAACUGCAAACCUUAUUGGACUUGCCUCUUCUUUGUGUUCCAAGAUAAAGCAGGAAUAAAGAGCUGUCUAUUUGGUAGUAACAGUAAUUGAACAGUAGUUAAAUUGCAAAACUUACUGUAAGCUUUGGGUACCUAUGUCACAUUCUCAGAAUUUGACAGUAAUAUGAAAAUAAAAGUUUAAUUAAAGCACA